GACGAACCGUGCGAACGUUGUUCGGAAUCACUGGGCUUGAAGGGUGCGUAGGCGGGAUGUCCAGUCUGGGGUGAAAUCCCACGGCUCAACCGUGGAACUGCCUCAGAUACUGACGGCCUCGAGGGAGGUAGGGGCGAGCGGAACUGUGGGUGGAGCGGUGAAAUGCGUUGAUAUCCACAGGAACUCCGGUGGCGAAGGCGGCUCGCUGGACCUCUUCUGACGCUGAGGCACGAAAGCUAGGGGAGCAAACGGG
rnacentral:rRNA from 1 species